rnacentral:rRNA from 1 species
AUUGAACGCUGGCGGCAUGCUUUACACAUGCAAGUCGAACGGCAGCACGGGCUUCGGCCUGGUGGCGAGUGGCGAACGGGUGAGUAAUAUAUCGGAACGUACCCAGAAGUGGGGGAUAACGUAGCGAAAGUUACGCUAAUACUGCAUACGAUCUAUGGAUGAAAGCAGGGGACCGCAAGGCCUUGUGCUCCUGGAGCGGCCGAUAUCGGAUUAGCUAGUUGGUGAGGUAAAGGCUCACCAAGGCGACGAUCAGUAGCUGGUCUGAGAGGACGACCAGCCACACUGGAACUGAGACACGGUCCAGACUCCUGCGGGAGGCAGCAGUGGGGAAUUUUGGACAAUGGGCGCAAGCCUGAUCCAGCAAUGCCGCGUGAGUGAAGAAGGCCUUCGGGUUGUAAAGCUCUUUUGUCAGGGAAGAAACGGUAGAGGCUAAUAUCCUUUGCUAAUGACGGUACCUGAAGAAUAAGCACCGGCUAACUACGUG